rnacentral:tRNA from 1 species
GGCGACAUAGCCAAGCGGUAAGGCACGAGUCUGCAAAACUCCCAUUCCUCGGUUCGAUUCCGAGUGUCGCCUCCA